GCAUUACCAAUAUGUGUGAAAAGUUGACCAGCCAUCAUUGAUGGUCAGGAAAAAUUAAGCAUCACUAAUCUAUAUUUGUGAAAGAGGAAGCAGUACUGUCAUGGCAGAUCAAGGUGAAAUGAAGUGCCAGGAGGAUGAUCUGUCAUCAGACAUACAAGAUUGGAGUAAACAUCAAGUGAGGCAAUGGGUUCUCCAAUUGGAUCGCGUGGAUGACAAAGUUGCUGAAAUAUUGUUUAAUGAAGACAUCAAUGGUGAAAGUCUUCUGCUUUUAGAUACAACUGACUUAACCAAAAUUGGUGUGACUUUUGGACCGGCUAAACUUCUCAUUCGUGCCAGAGAUGAAGUUGUGAAAUUUAAAAAAGAAGAGCCAGUAGGUUCUAGAAACCAGCCUGGGAAACCGUGCAAGCCGUAUCCAUUUUGUAGAU